CUUAGUACCCAGGUCCCAAAGUAGGAGAGUGAAGGCCAAUGGCAGUGUCAGCAGCAGGAUUGUGAUGUUAUUGUGGAGAUAAGGCUGCACUACCUUGGAUGUCCUGUGACCAGGCAGGUCCACCACAACAGAGGCCACACGGAGGGAGGCCCAUGUCUGAAAAGGACAUGGGUGAGUCAGCAGUGAGUAGAGGACUGGAGGGUCACCCUCCCUAAUACAAAACAACGCAUGGUAACUUCUGUGCUCUAGGAACUUAGAAAAGAGCAGGCGAAGAAGUGUUAAAGAGAAAAUCAUUCACGACACUUGUCACUUGGGAACUAUCGCUAUAGACCUAGCACCAGGCCUGGGAGAUAGAAGG
rnacentral:lncRNA from 1 species